GAAGUAAACAAUUCUCUUUUUUUUUAAUUGAAAGGAAAUGCAUUCAAAAUGUAGGCGAUCAUGCACACAUCACAAAUGUUCAUCAGACACAUGGAAACUAAGACACACAAACUAAUUACAACAGUUCAGAUUGAUCGACGACAGUUUAUUAUUUAGAUAUAUUAGUCUUCUACAUAAUGGCUACGGAACCCUCAACAACAUACUACAAAUUUCUAAGCGUAACCAAGUCAGUUGUAAAUCGCAUGUCAUUCUGAAGUUGCAUUUUCAACAACAUGCAGAACAACCUUAAGAUAAUUGCAGGUGUUCUUCCUGUGACCACCGACUCCACAGUUCUCGCCACAUUUAUCUGGAAGCGAGUGAUUGUGGAAUGUUCUAUGCUCACUUAUGUACCAUCCUUUGUCGACCGGAGCAAAUUGUAUCAUGGCUGGGCACCUACAACGGCAGGACCGUGUGUUUCUUCUUUUUUUCGGCACCCCCUACAAAAUGUUUGUAGCAAACAUCUAUAUGUCAGAUUUCCUUUGUUGUGGUCAUAAAUCAUUAAUUUUGAUGCAUCAGCCAAGGUUUGUUAUGUCAAUCGGAAAUCAAAAAAUAGUGCUCACGGAGCAGCCGCAAGCUAUCUCCUGCAUACAUUUGCUUCUCUCAACAUUCAAUCCGUUUUUCUGUAUCUAAUUCCAAAGUCAAUUUCCCGGGAACGCAGUUUUACGUAUCUAAUUUGAAAGCCAAUUUCCUGGGAAUGCAGAUUGUAAAAGUCAUGCACCUCUCCAAGUGAAUCAAAGUUGUCUCUGACGGCAGGAAUUACGAUAGUUUCAGUCUUCUUCUCUGCAUAGCAUCUCAAUGUUUUUUCAAGGGCACUCACCCUUCCAGCACAAUGUGGCUGUUCUAGAGGUGCUCGCCCAACAUGCACCCUGUGCAAUUUCCGAAGAAAUCACUCCCAUGCAGUCAAAAUGAAAAUUUUCUUAACUAAUUACUCAGUUUUAGCAUACAGUAGCUACAUAGCAGCAAGCAGUCUCAUGAUUCAACAUUUUUGUUAUGCCAUGCAUUCAAUCAAAAAACAAUAUACUUGAUUCAUGAGCAGAGAAAUGCAUAUACAUAC
rnacentral:lncRNA from 1 species